CCAUGUACUCAACUAGCCAUGGUAGCAAGAACUGGGAGAAAAAUUGAAAAGAAUUAUCUUAUUCUCUCUGGUAGCUAAUAAUUUCAGUAUUAAAUGGGGGUAACGAAGCUUGACGCGUUCGAUAGUUGCAUGUUUCGCUCAGCAGCAUCUACGUACCAGGACAACUCAUUGACUAGUCGCAGAACGUUAUCCUGAAAUCUUGCAUCAUUUGGUUGACCACCCUCAUCAAAUUUCUUGUGCACAGCUGGUAAGGCAACACGAACUGGUAAAGAGAUCAUGCCCAGCUCACUCAAAAAGGGCUGAACCACUGUGGCUGCUCGAAUACCUCCAAAAUCACCUGAACCAAAUGUUUUAUUUUGUAAAACUAUUCUCUUAUUUAACUUAAUCAAUUGUGGACUUACCCAUGGAAUAUGUGACAAUACUGCAAGGUCUGUGACGAUAAGAAGCUGGGGGAAAGUGAUUCAUCAUAUUGCUAAGAGCUGGAGGAACACCACAAUUAUACUCUGAGAGCACAACAACAAAGCCAUCAGCUGAUUCAAUCUCCUUGUUAGCUUCAGUUACCCAUGAAGGGGCAGCACUUUUGUCUUUCAUGAAGUGCAAAGGUUGCCUGAGCAUUUGAAAAUCCAUUUCAAGUGGAUC